rnacentral:lncRNA from 1 species
GACGAUCCAUGAAUCGGCGUGUGAGAACUCUAAGACGUGAAUUGGUCCUGGAAACAUGGCUGCCUCCAUGUUCAACCAUUCUGACCUUUAGAAAACACCGGACAGUGAGUUUCCCCUAGGCGUGUGUGAAAUGUGUGUAAAAUCCACAACAAAGUAGGCUAAGGCUAAUGAAUAUGAAGGUAUAGGCUGUCAUAACAGAAUUAUACAUUUUGUUGAACUCCUCCAACGAACCUUAUUGUUCUUAGCAUCGAAUGGCGGAACAAUUCAUAGACUAACAAUUUAUAGCCACAAUCAACGUGCGACUUCCACAUUUGUCACGCCAUGAAAUAGCUGUGUAUACAUUAUCACUGUGUACAUGUUCACACUAUCGCCACUAGUAGCGCUGGUAAGAGGGCCUGUCCAUACGUCUAGGUGAAAGGUCUUUACAAUUACUCUUCAACAAAGUAUACAUUUUUUGUAAACCCAGGCACAAUGUUUCUCGGUAGUUUAUAGGCCUACAGACCACAGCUGUAAUCUACCGUAGAACGCAAACAUCGGAAAACACUAACAACUUUUAAGACGAGGUUAAAUCAGGUAAGGAAUAUCCUCGUUUUCGUGACAUGGGUUGGCGACACAUGCUAGGCUACACAUUGAAGGUUAAAUGUGGGAAAUGCUAUAGGCCUAUUAUUCCCCAAAAUACCUUGCACAUUUCACGGUGGCUUUUGUUUUCUUAUAAUAAACGACUAGACUACUUUAACGGUAUCUUUACCGAACAGAUAAUUUGAAUAUUAAAGUGAGACUUACCCAAUACAUCGGCGGACCUAUGCCGGGCAAUGAAACAAGCGUCAUCCCCGUAGCACAUCCCUUUCUUCAAUAUCCCCUUACGAAAGUCUUUCCCAAACCCACAACUAGCUGUGACCAGGCUGUAGUCCCGACCAUCAGUUUGAGAGAGUCCGCCUAGGACAGCCCUCGCAACCAGUCUUCCAUAGGAGAGUACGGAUAACAUUCCUCAAAAGCGAGCGCUCGUCUCUACCUGCCGAGCCCUUCACUCUCCUCUCCGCCUAGCCUACUUUGAGACUCUAUUCGACUUCCACCAUUCGUUUUGGAUACUUCUACCACUGAAUAGGCUAAAACGCGAGUCAGAGGAGGGGUGCGUCACUUGAGUGGGUUGAGUCACUGGCGUGAUCUUCCUGUCCGGGUUGGCUCCCCCCCUUGGGUUGUGCUGUGGGGGAGAUCUUCGUGGGCUAUACUCGGCCUUGUCUCAGGAUGGUAAGUUGGUGGUUGGAGAUAUCCCUCUAGUGGUGUGGGGGUUGUGCUUUGGCAAAGUGGGUGGGGUUAUAUCCUGCCUGUUUGGCCCUGUCCGGGGGUAUCAUCGGACGGGGCCCCAGUGUCUCCCGACCCCUCUUGUCUCAGCCUCCAGUAUUUAUGCUGCAAUAGUUUGUGUCGGGGGGCUGUUAUAUCUGGAGUAUUUCUCCUGUCUUAUCCAGUGUCAUGUGAAUUUAAGUAUGCUCUCUCUUUUUCUUUCUUUCUUUCUUUCUUUCUUUCUUUCUUUCUUUCUUUCUUUCUUUCUUUCUUUCUUUCUUUCUUUCUUUCUUUCUUUCUUUCUUUCUUUCUUUCUUUCUUUCUUUCGGAG